rnacentral:tRNA from 1 species
GGAGAGGUGGCUGAGUGGUUGAAAGCAACAUCCUGCUAAGAUGUUAGGCCCGUAAGGGCCUCGAGGGUUCGAAUCCCUCCCUCUCCG